UGGUCUAAUCGGUUAGGGCGUCGCCCCGGUCAGGCGAUGGUUGCGGGUUCAAUCCCGCUCCUGGCC
rnacentral:tRNA from 1 species